rnacentral:rRNA from 1 species
UACAGAGGUCCCAAGCGUUGUUCGGAUUCACUGGGCGUAAAGGGUGCGUAGGCGGUCGGGUAAGUCUGAUGUGAAAUCUCACAGCUUAACUGUGAAACUGCAUUGGAUACUAUCCGGCUCGAGGAAUGGAGGGGAAACUGGAAUACUUGGUGUAGCAGUGAAAUGCGUAGAUAUCGGGAGGAACACCUGUGGCGAAAGCGGCUCACUGGACCACAACUGACGCUGAGGCGCGAAAGCUAGGGGAGCAAACAGG